rfam:Schistosoma rodhaini strain Burundi genome assembly, scaffold: SROB_scaffold0005657
AUAAAGCUGAAGAGUCCCAAAUGGGGCGAAACGCGUGUCACACUGGAU